UGCAGAAUCCCGUGAACCAUCGAGUCUUUGAACGCAAGUUGCGCCCGAAGCCGCUAGGCCGAUGGCACGCCUGCCUGGGCGUCA
rnacentral:rRNA from 2 species